GAACCAAUGAAGGUAAUCAUCAUCAUCGCUUCGGUCUGCGGGUUUCUCUUCCUGAUCCUCGCUGUCGCCAUCGUCGUUUUGAUCGUACGAGUUUAUCGCAAAAGACAGCUGUGUUCGUCGUCAUCAUUUUCUGAUUCUAUUUCCGAAAAGGACAUGGAGUGGAAGGAUUACGGACUCGCCUUCGCCCCGUACAUGGGCUAUUCGGAUUGGAGAGAACAUGCCGUCGGCUUCGGAUUCGACCACGCCCAACCAGGGUCAUGGGCUGGGAUACCACGUGUCAGAAACCUCGAUGCGGGACUGGCUGAGCAACGUAGUAUUGGACCUUGGUCAGUCGUCACGUGGGAUACUGACCGUCGGUCUGAAAGAAAAACAUAAGGCAUUGCCUAAUGUAUCCGAACACUGAGUUCUACUUCUGCUUUGCCGGUAUCACUAGAAUCGAUGCAGUCGACGAUUUUGUGAAAACACCCUUGUGCAGGACACUUCCGAUGGGACUACUGUCUCUUGUGGCGGGACCAUGUUAACUGCUGGAGGAUCAUGCAUAGGAGCUCGGGAUCCGUUCGACAACAAGGGCAAUACAAACUGCAAAACUCCAUUUCAAUCAGGCAUUUUAGCGUGCUUCGUGUGCAUCGACGCUUUUCUUACUUGUGCCCAAGAAGUCUUACCCAGACUGAUUAGUUUGUUUUUAGUACAUGUUGUAUUGUUACUGCAAAGUGCGAUACAAGUAUUUGUCGUUUUAUGUGUGAUUGGUUUUGGUAAAAGAUUUCGCCGCAAUAUACCUCAUAAUCAUGUUUUUAUUUAUAUUGCAUUCUUAAGUACGUUUUAUAACGCCAAUGUAUUUGUAUACAUUGUGAGACAUACAUAUAUUUGCACAAUUUUUCUAAACGGUUUUAAAAUACCAAUCUAAUUGUUAUGAUUUUGUUGAAUUGUUCAUAAACCCAGUGUUUAUAUUGAUUUAUAUAA